rnacentral:rRNA from 1 species
AUUGAACGCUGGCGGCAUGCCUUACACAUGCAAGUCGAACGGUAACAGGUCUUCGGAUGCUGACGAGUGGCGAACGGGUGAGUAAUACAUCGGAACGUGCCUAGUAGUGGGGGAUAACUACUCGAAAGAGUGGCUAAUGCCGCGUGAGAUCUACGGAUGAAAGCAGGGGAUCGCAAGACCUUGUGCUACUAGAGCGGCCGAUGGCAGAUUAGGUAGUUGGUGGGAUAAAAGCUUACCAGGCCGACGAUCUGUAGCGGGUCUGAGAGGACGAUCAGCCACACUGGGACUGAGACACGGCCCAGACUCCUACGGGAGGCAGCAGUGGGGAAUUUUGGACAAUGGGCGAAAGCCUGAUCCAGCAAUGCCGCGUGCAGGAUGAAGGCCUUCGGGUUGUAAACUGCUUUUGUACGGAACGAAAAGCCCCGGGUUAAUACCCUGGGGUCAUGACGGUACCGUAAGAAUAAGCACCGGCUAACUACGUGCCAGCAGCCGCCGUAA